rnacentral:lncRNA from 1 species
UGAAGUUACUUAGAAAGCCGAUGAAGAUGCUAAGAAGACAACUGAGGUUUCUCUGACUCGAGGUGAGUCAUCAACAACUGACCUCACUCCUCUAGUCAUCAAGACUCUGGAAGAGUUGCAGAAAGAACAACAACUAGUUAGAGUCAGACUCGACAAGCAGGACCAAGUCAACUCCAGCAUCCAGAAUCUUCUAACUGAGUUUCUUUAGAGGAUGCCUCCUCCUCCA